AUUGAACGCUGGCGGCAUGCUUUACACAUGCAAGUCGAACGGUAACAGGCCGCAAGGUGCUAACGAGUGGCGAACGGGUGAGUACUGCAUCGGAACGUGCCCAGUCGUGGGGGAUAACUGCUCGAAAGAGCAGCUAAUACCGCAUACGAUCUCUGGAUGAAAGCGGGGGACCGUAAGGCCUCGCGCGAUUUGAGCGGCCGAUGUCAGAUUAGGUAGUGGGUGGGGUAAAGGAUCACCAAGACAACGAUCUGUAGCUGGUCCGAGAGGACGACCAGCCACAUUGGGCGUGAGACGCGGCCCGGACUCCUACGGGAGUCAGCAGUGGGGAAUUUUGGUCAGUGGGGGCAACCCUGGUCCAGCAAUGCCGCGUGCAGGAAGAAGGCCUUCGGGUUGUACACUGCUUUUGUACGGAACGAAACGGUCUGGGUUAAUACCCUGGGCUAAUUGCGGUACCGUAAGAAUAAGCACCGGCUAACUACGUGCCAGCCGCCGCAGUAAGAC
rnacentral:rRNA from 1 species